rnacentral:rRNA from 1 species
AACGAACGCUGGCGGCAUGCCUAACACAUGCAAGUCGAACGAGACCUUCGGGUCUAGUGGCGCACGGGUGCGUAACGCGUGGGAACCUGCCCUUAGGUUCGGAAUAACUCCCCGAAAGGGGUGCUAAUACCGGAUAAUGUCUUCGGACCAAAGAUUUAUCGCCUUUGGAUGGGCCCGCGUUGGAUUAGCUAGUUGGUAGGGUAAAAGCCUACCAAGGCGACGAUCCAUAGCUGGUCUGAGAGGAUGAUCAGCCACACUGGGACUGAGACACGGCCCAGACUCCUACGGGAGGAAGCAGUGGGGAAUAUUGGACAAUGGGCGAAAGACUGAUCAAGCAAUGCCGCGUGAGUGAUGAAGGCCUUAGGGUUGUAAAGCUCUUUUACCCGGGAUGAUAAUGACAGUACCGGGAGAAUAAGCUCCGGCUAACUCCGUG